rnacentral:rRNA from 1 species
AAAAACAUGUCUUUUUGAUUAUAAUUUAAAGUCAGGCCUGCCCAAUGAUUAUUUUAAAUGGCUGCAGUAUUUUGACUGUACAAAGGUAGCAUAAUCAUUAGUUUCUUAAUUAGAAGCUGGAAUGAAUGGUUCGAUGAAAAAUUAACUGUCUCGAUUUAACUUAUUAGAAUUUUAUUUUUAAGUGAAAAAGCUUAAAUUUUAUAUAAAGACGAGAAGACCCUGUAGAGUUUUAUAUUUUUAUAAUUUUUAAUUUUAUGUUUUUAUAUUUAAUUAUUAAUAAAAGUAUUUUGUUGGGGUGACAGAAAAACUUGAAUAACUUUUUUUUAUUUUUACACUGAUUGGUGAAUUUAUGAUCCUUUAUUAGAUUAAAAGAUUAAAUUACCUUAGGGAUAACAGCGUAAUUUUUUUUGAAAGUUCUUAUUGAUAAAAAAGUUUGCGACCUCGAUGUUGGAUUAAAAUUUAUUUUUGGUGCAGAAGCUAAAAAAUUAGGUCUGUUCGACCUUUAA